CCUACGGGGGGCAGCAGUGAGGAAUAUUGGUCAAUGGGCGGGAGCCUGAACCAGCCAAGUAGCGUGAAGGAUGACUGCCCUACGGGUUGUAAACUUCUUUUGUCAAGGAAUAAAGUGCGGCACGUGUGCCUUUUUGUGUGUACUUUAAGAAAAAGCAUCGGCUAACUCCGUGCCAGCAGCCGCGGUAAUACGGAGGAUGCGAGCGUUAUCCGGAUUUAUUGGGUUUAAAGGGUGCGUAGACGGGCGGUUAAGUCAGCGGUAAAAGUUCGGGGCUCAACCUCGUAGAGCCGUUGAAACUGGGUGCCUUGAGUGGACGUGAGGUAGGCGGAAUGCGUGGUGUAGCGGUGAAAUGCUUAGAUAUCACGAAGAACUCCGAUUGCGAAGGCAGCUUACCGGCGUCCAACUGACGCUGAAGCACGAAAGUGUGGGUAUCGAACAGGAUUAGAUACCCGAGUAGUC
rnacentral:rRNA from 1 species